UACGUAGGUGGCAAGCGUUAUCCGGAAUUACUGGGCGUAAAGCGCACGCAGGCGGUCUUUUAAGUUUGACGUGAAAGCUCUCGGCUUAACUGGGAGAGGUCGUUGAAUACUGGGAGACUUGAGGAAAUGAGGGGGGUGUCGAAUUCCCGGUGUAGUGGUGGAAUGCGUAGAUAUCGGGGGGAAUACCAGUGGCGAAAGCGGCACCCUAGCAUUUGUCUGACGCUCAUGUGCGAAAGUGUGGGGAGCGAACGGU
rnacentral:rRNA from 1 species